UGGCUGUGCAUCGACUGGCACUGUGGAUAGUCGGCCUUGGUGAAGAACUGGGCACAGCCCACGAUGUUGGUGGCCGUGAGCGUCGUGGCAGUGUCGUCCCACAUGGCCAGCACACACAGGUCGUAGCCAGUCCCUGACACCAGGU
ensembl:miRNA